GGGGGUUAGAGGAGGGCCCAGGGUGCACACUACCCUUUUUGUGGAAAAAAAUGUGUGGGGUUAGGGUUGUUUCAGAUUAAAAGCUGACUUUUGUUUGCUUAAAACAAUCUACAGAAAAGUGGAAAACACCCUGUGGAGCCACCAACGGGUUUUGAAAUGAGUAUCACUAAUAGACUGGAGUAUGGGCUGGAAUUUUUCAUUGACUUUGGAAAAUUAUAAGGAUAUUUAGUGGUAUAUUAUUAGUCAUUAUAAAAUUUAUCAAUUUUCUCCUUUAAAAAUGAGACUUUUUAACGAAUUUGUUCUAACAUGAGCAACACGACAGGUGAUUCAUGUUGAGCAGGAUCUCCUUACCCCUUCUGGAGAACCAGAGAUGACCUCAAGUUUCAGGUUCCUGAGUUUCUCUGUGAGUCUUUAAUUUUCUAUGUUGUGUUUUGUGUAUAUUGUUGUUGUUUUGUUGGUCCCUUUCUUUUUUAAGCCAUGGCUUGGCCAGUUUGUUAUCGAUUAUGAGUUUGAAAGUGAUCGAUUUUAAUAUCUUUCGUCCUCUUUUACUCAUUAAAUUACUUGUGAAUAUUAUUUUGUUUAUAGUAUGGCAUGUCCUAUAAGUAGAUCUUAUUUCUAAUUGCACCUGUGCUUUAAAGCAGGGCCAUUUUGUAUAUUUAUCAUUUAUGGUUUUAGCAUAUAUGACAGGCUGUUGAUUUUCCCCUAAGAUUAAUGAAACACAUAGUUUUGUUACAUUUUAGCUUUUUAUAUCUUAUACUUUACUAUAUACGUUUUGCUUAUUGUUGAAGGUUACUUCCUGAUCAUUUGUUCUCUGGUGAAUAGUUAUAUGUCUUGGAAUGUCCUUUAGCUAACAAUAUUUGACAAUUAGAUCUUAUUUCAUAAUUGCACCUGUACUUUUAAGCGGAGCCAUUUUGUAUAUUUAUCUUUUAUGGUUUUAGCAUAUAUGACGAGGCUGUUGAUUUUCCCUUAAGAAAUGAUACACAUAGUUUGUUACAUUUUGGCCUUUUAUAUAUCUUACUUUACUAUACACAUUUUGCUUAUUGUUGAAGGUUACUUCUUGAUCAUUUGGUCUCUGGUGAAUAGUUUAUAUACACAAAGAUAUGUCUUGGAUGUCCUUUAAACUAUUAGUAUUUGUCAAUCAUAAGGAUUCCAAUAAGUCUACAAGGAAAAUUAACAAUGGAUUGACUACAAAAUCGUACGGAUGGCAUUUAAAAUUUCAAUGACAAAGAUAUACCCAGGAGAAUCGGUCAAGAGAAACA
rnacentral:lncRNA from 1 species